GGCCCUACGGGGUGCAGCAGGCGCGAAAACUUUACAAUGCUGGGAACAGCGAUAAGGGAACAUCGAGUGCCAGGUUACAAAUCUGGCUGUCGUGAUGCCUAAAAAGCAUUAUAUAGCAAGGGCCGGGCAAGACCGGUGCCAGCCGCCGCGGUAACACCGGCGGCUCGAGUGGUAACCGUUAUUAUUGGGUCUAAAGGGUCUGUAGCCGGCCGGAUAAGUCUCUUGGGAAAUCUGGCAGCUCAACUGUCAGGCUUUCAGGGGAUACUGUCUGGCUCGAGGCCGGGAGAGGUGAGAGGUACUUCAGGGGUAGGGGUGAAAUCUUGUAAUCCUUGAAGGACCACCAGUGGCGAAGGCGUCUCACCAGAACGGACCUGACGGCAAGGGACGAAAGCUAGGGGCACGAACCGGAUUAGAUACCCGGGUAGUCCUAGCCGUAAACGAUACUCGCUAGGUGUCGGCCACGGUGCGACCGUUGUCGGUGCCGUAGGGAAGCCGUGAAGCGAGCCACCUGGGAAGUACGGCCGCAAGGCUGAAACUUAAAGGAAUUGGCGGGGGAGCACCACAACGGGUGGAGCUUGCGGUUUAAUUGGACUCAACGCCGGGAAGCUCA
rnacentral:rRNA from 1 species